GCAUUGCUGAGGAGCCCCACAACAGGACGAAACGGCCGUCCAGUGC
rfam:Schistosoma curassoni strain Dakar, Senegal genome assembly, scaffold: SCTD_contig0031352